CUUCAGUGAUGAUACGAUGACGAGUCGGAGCGGAGCACAGUCUGUCUUGGGGGGGGUCACUGAGUCAGGGUCAUGUUUUGUGUCUCUGGGUUCAGUUCCCCAGAGCAGUGUCUCUUCAGUUGAAGACAUAGAGGCAUUUGUCUAAGAAGA
rnacentral:snoRNA from 13 species